rnacentral:misc_RNA from 1 species
GCAAAAAUCUUUCCUCCUCCUCUCUCAUUUCGCUCCGGAACUUCUCUUUCCCCCCCUCUCUCUCUCUGAUCCGCCUGAAAAUGGGACCGAUUGUCUUGACUCAGCUUGCGACGGGCCUUAGCGUGCUGGCCGGAGCCGUCCUCGUCAAAUCGGUGAUGGAACAGAAGCCCAUGGCUGGUCCAUUCCAGCGGUGCUCAACUUGCAACGGCACAGGUCGAGUUACUUGUCUCUGCUCUCGCUGGUCAGAUGGAGAUGUGGGAUGUCGGACUUGUGCUGGCUCCGGUCGCAUGGUGUGUAGUAGUUGCGGUGGUUCCGGUACUGGUCGACCAAUUCCGGUUCGAAUAUCUGCCAGGCCGACGAACCGCCCGUCGUAAGUGGUUUGUGAUUAGAGAUUUAUAUAGCUCCCGUUUCUCUCUUAUAUUUUUAUGUAAUUUUUUUCCCAAAUUACAAAAUUAAAUUGUGUAAUUUAAAAAUUGAAGAUACCGAAAAGGAAGAGAUGGGAGAUUUAGUAGGUUUAACUUGUAAUGUAUAAACUUAUCGAUUUUAUAAGAAUCUCAGUAAGCCAAUACAUUAC